GACGAACGCUGGCGGCGUGCUUAACACAUGCAAGUCGAACGAUGAAGCUGGAGCUUGCUCCGGUGGAUUAGUGGCGAACGGGUGAGUAACACGUGAGAAAUCUGCCCUUCACUCUGGAAUAACUGCGGGAAACUGUAGCUAAUACCGGAUACUUUCCCUGGUGGGCAUCCACUAGGGAAGAAAGAAUUUCGGUGAAGGAUGAUUUCGCGGCCUAUCAGCUAGGUGGUGAGGUAAGGGCUCACCAAGGCGACGACGGGUAGCCGGCCUGAGAGGGUGACCGGCCACACUGGGACUGAGACACGGCCCAGACUCCUACGGGAGGCAGCAGUGGGGAAUAUUGCACAAUGGGCGAAAGCCUGAUGCAGCAACGCCGCGUGAGGGAUGAAGGCCUUCGGGUUGUAAACCUCUUUUAGCAGGGAAGAAGCGAAAGUGACGGUACCUGCAGAAAAAGCACCGGCUAACUACGUGCCAGCAGCCGCCGUAA
rnacentral:rRNA from 1 species